rnacentral:rRNA from 1 species
UUCGGAUUGAAGCAACUGUGACUGAGCGGCGGACGGGUGAGUAACGCGUGGGUAACCUACCUCAUACAGGGGGAUAACAGUUGGAAACGGCUGCUAAUACCGCAUAAGCGCACAGUACCGCAUGGUACCGUGUGAAAAACUCCGGUGGUAUGAGAUGGACCCGCGUCUGAUUAGCUAGUUGGUGGGGUAACGGCCUACCAAGGCGACGAUCAGUAGCCGACCUGAGAGGGUGACCGGCCACAUUGGGACUGAGACACGGCCCAAACUCCUACGGGAGGCAGCAGUGGGGAAUAUUGCACAAUGGGGGAAACCCUGAUGCAGCGACGCCGCGUGAGCGAUGAAGUAUUUCGGUAUGUAAAGCUCUAUCAGCAGGGAAGAAAAUGACGGUACCUGACUAAGAAGCCCCGGCUAACUACGUGCCAGCAGCCGCGGUAAUACGUAGGGGGCAAGCGUUAUCCGGAUUUACUGGGUGUAAAGGGAGCGUAGACGGCAUGGCAAGCCAGAUGUGAAAGCCCGGGGCUCAACCCCGGGACUGCAUUUGGAACUGUCAGGCUAGAGUGUCGGAGAGGAAAGCGGAAUUCCUAGUGUAGCGGUGAAAUGCGUAGAUAUUAGGAGGAACACCAGUGGCGAAGGCGGCUUUCUGGACGAUGA